rnacentral:rRNA from 1 species
CAGCCGCCGCGGUAAUACGAAGGGUGCAAGCGUUAAUCGGAAUUACUGGGCGUAAAGCGUGCGUAGGCGGUGAGUUAAGUCUGCUGUGAAAUCCCCGGGCUCAACCUGGGAAUGGCAAUGGAUACUGGCAAGCUAGAGUGUGUCAGAGGAUGGUGGAAUUCCCGGUGUAGCGGUGAAAUGCGUGGAGAUGUGGAGGAACACCGAUGGCGAAGGCAGCCCCCUGGGCCAAUACUGACGCUCAUGCACGAAAGCGUGGGGAGCAAACAGGAUUAGAUACCCCGGUAGUCCCUGUCUCUUAUAC